rnacentral:lncRNA from 1 species
AAUGAUUUUGUAAAUGUAAAUUGCCAUCUGGAAGGAUUGUAUGACUGUACAUUGCAAUAAAUAACUUAUUGUCUAACUAGGUUUUCAUAAUGUAUUUUCCCAAUUUCUUAGUGAACAGAUAACUUGAUUAUGUUUUAAUCUGUUGCACAAAUUGAGAGUUAUGCUGAAAAAUUUUCUAUGCUUUACACAUGUAAAUAGAUUUUAAUUAUCUAAGUAUUACUCCCUUACACAUAUAUACAUUUGUUUGUCUAUAUAUCAGACAUUAACUUAAGUACAAAUAUCAUUCACUAUUAAACCAGAAACUCUGGCUACGUUAUGCCUGAUAGGAAACUUUUCCAUUAACCAGUAAUGAGCCCCAUAAAAAUAUUUUUAACUUAAAUAACUUUCUAUAAAAUAAGUAAUAAUACAAAUAUGCAAUAAAUAUACAGGCAAUUUUUUUAGAUCAAAUAUAAAAACAAAGGUAAAAAUACUUCACAGUGAUAAGAAUGUAGGGGGAAAAUGGAAGAGAGAACAAAGCAGCUUGGGCAAAGUAUCCUCAGGAGUAACUCUGAUAGUUUGUCCUUAUAACAAAGGGACGUCUAGGAAAGAGCAGCAAGAAAAUGGGCUGUUUUCUAGAAAAAGAAAAAUUAUCAACACUGACACAAGGAGAAAUAGAAAACCAUAUGAGAUUUAUAAUCAUUUAAAAAUGUAAUUAGUAAUCAAAAAUCUAUCCACAAUAAAGCACCAGGUUAUUUUUAUGAACAUUCUAAGGACAAAAAUUAUCCUAUACAAAUUACUUAAAGGUAUAGAUCAUGAGGAAGAGAUGCCCGACUCAUUUUACGAAGCCAAUUCAACCUCCUUACAACAUCAGAUAAGGAUAAUAUAAGAAAGGAAAAUCAUAGGCAAAUUUCACUAAUUGAACAUUUCUCAAAAAUCUGAUAUGGAGAAUUCACAGUAAGAUAUUAUAUAUGAAAAUUUGACAUACAAUAUUCCUAUAUUUUAUGUAUAAAUACCUAUAUAAUACAUGCAUUAAAAAAUAUGGAUAAGAAGGUGCAUACUAAUUUCAGGAGAGUGGGUAAAUCUGGAUAGAGAUAGAGGAAAAGCAUCAGGGAGGGCAGACAAUAAAGUAGCUUUCAACUGUAUAUAUUUUUUUUUUUUUUAAGAUUUUAUUUUUUCCUUUUUCUCCCCAAAGCCCCCCGGUACAUAGUUGUGUAUUCUUCGUUGUGGGUUCUUCUAGUUGUGGCAUGUGGGACGCUGCCUCAGCGUGGUCUGAUGAGCAGUGCCAUGUCCGUGCCCAGGAUUCGAACUGACGAAACACUGGGCUGCCUGCAGCGGAGCGCGCGAACUUAACCACUCAGCCACGGGGCCAGCCCCUCAAC